rnacentral:rRNA from 1 species
AUUGAACGCUGGCGGCAGGCCUAACACAUGCAAGUCGAGCGGAUGAAGGGAGCUUGCUCCUGGAUUCAGCGGCGGACGGGUGAGUAAUGCCUAGGAAUCUGCCUGGUAGUGGGGGAUAACGUCCGGAAACGGGCGCUAAUACCGCAUACGUCCUGAGGGAGAAAGUGGGGGAUCUUCGGACCUCACGCUAUCAGAUGAGCCUAGGUCGGAUUAGCUAGUUGGUGGGGUAAAGGCCUACCAAGGCGACGAUCCGUAACUGGUCUGAGAGGAUGAUCAGUCACACUGGAACUGAGACACGGUCCAGACUCCUACGGGAGGCAGCAGUGGGGAAUAUUGGACAAUGGGCGAAAGCCUGAUCCAGCCAUGCCGCGUGUGUGAAGAAGGUCUUCGGAUUGUAAAGCACUUUAAGUUGGGAGGAAGGGCAGUAAGAUAAUACCUUGCUGUCUUGACGUUACCAACAGAAUAAGCACCGGCUAACUUCGUG